AUGGUGACCGCCGAGGCCGCGAUGGCGGUCCUGAGGGCCGCGCGCCCCGUCUUCCGCGGUGCCCACGACGGCAUCGCGUUCGCUGCAAACGCCGCGUUCCUCGCCGACGGAUACUCCCUCUGCGCCGCCGGUCCUGCCGCGCUCGAGGAUCGCCUGCCCUCAGACGAGGUGGAGGUAGGAUUUGAGGGUUGGAACAGUAUGUACAACUGCUAUGCCUUUUUGUACUCCAAGGAGGAGGAGGGCAAGAAGAAGUGCAUCUUAAUGGAAUGUCUUGGGAUUGCUGACUUCCUUGCUAUUAAUGCGCGGGACCUUGAGGCACAACAUAAGAAACCCUGCAAUGUCCACAUAAAUGUGAAGGAUUUCUUCUCUGAAGAACAGACCAGGAAUUAUAAAGAUUUGUACAAAAAUUUUACGGACUUCAUUAAUAUCCUGAACUUAAGCUUAUUGGCUGAAUUGAAUGGUAAUGAUGCUGCUGCCGCCCAGAAUCCUAAUGUUGAGAGCAGUUCGUCAAUAAACAGUUCUGGAAAUGUUACGUUCGAAAACCCAAGUAGAAGGAUAACUGAACCAGCCGGUUCUGAAUGUGUUCUGUGGGAAAACCCGUUUACAAGGAUGAUUGAACCUGCCGGGCUGAUUUAUCCUCCAGUAGUUCCGGUUGGUCAUGAUGACACCUUCCCUGUUCCUGGUGUUGGCUUCUACCCUCACAGUGGUGGGACAGGUGGUAGUAUGCACGUUGGUCCAAAUGAUCCACGCUUCUUUCCUACAAAUCCUUCUACUCCUUUUGGUGACCUUGGGAGUGUACCGCCCGGUGGUCGCUACGAUCCAAUUGGCCCGCCCGAUGUUCCAGGAUUUGAACCAUCUCGCUUUGUGAGGCAUUCGAGGCAUUCAAGUCCUUCAGGUGGAAGCACUCACCCAGACCUUGAGUUCUUCCAGCAAGGCCCAGACUUCUUCUGA
rnacentral:rRNA from 1 species